rnacentral:rRNA from 3 species
UUGGAGGGCAAGUCUGGUGCCAGCAGCCGCGGUAAUUCCAGCUCCAAUAGCGUAUAUUAAAGUUGUUGCAGUUAAAAAGCUCGUAGUUGAAUUUCGGGGUCAGUAGGUUGGUCGUGCCACCGGUACGUACUGGUCUCACUGAUUCCUCCUUCCUGAUGAGCUGUAAUGCCAUUAAUUUGGUGUUGCAGGGAAUCUGGACUGUUACUUUGAAAAAAUUAGAGUGUUUAAAGCAGGCUAACGCUUGAAUACAUUAGCAUGGAAUAAUGAAAUAGGACGUUCGAUCCUAUUUUGUUGGUUUCUAGGAUUGACGUAAUGAUUAAUAGGGAUAGUUGGGGGCAUUAGUAUUCAAUUGUCAGAGGUGAAAUUCUUGGAUUUAUUGAAGACUAACUACUGCGAAAGCAUUUGCCAAGGAUGUUUUCAUUAAUCAAGAACGAAAGUUAGGGGAUCGAAGACGAUCAGAUACCGUCGUAGUCUUAACCAUAAACUAUGCCGACUAGGGAUCGGAUGAUGUUAAUUUUUUAAUGACUCAUUCGGCGCCUUACGGGAAAC